GUAAUCAUAUAAGACAGGGCUGUGAAUGAGGCCUGUCAGUGUGAUCAGGCUCCUCCUUCUAAUCCACCAACUUAGUGUUGAUGAAGACUAAACAGAGAGAUCACAGCCUUCUUUCUACUUGCUGUAGCUCACAGUUACUCAACACUGCAGAUAUGACGCAGCCUCUGUUCAUCUCAGUGUUGCUGGCUGCUCUGUGCCUUGAAUGCAGAGCACAAAGAGACAACGUGCUGCAACCAAAAGGAGAUGUGACUGCGACUGAAGGAGAGGAAGUAACACUUGACUGUCAAUAUAACAGCAGUUCACCAAGUAAUUAUCUCUUCUGGUACAAACAGGAUGGAAACAACAGCCCCAAAUUCAUAAUGAGCCGCAUUCAACGAGAUGAAGGAACCACAGCAGAUGAGUUUAAGGAGAGAUUUUCAUCCACACUGGAUUCAACCUCAAGAUCAGUUCCUCUGAAGAUCCAGAAGCUUCAGCUGUCUGACUCUGCUGUGUACUACUGUGCUCUGCAGCCCACAGUGACAGGAAACACCAAAACUCUGUACAAAAACCUUUGGAGCAAAGACAACAGAAUACUCCACAACAUCCACUAGAGGGAGUCACACACUGUUAAACUUCAAUAGUAUGAUACAGAGUUGAUUCUGUGUAUUGGUUAUAAAAAGUACAUGAAACGAAGGACGGCAGAUAACAGACAGAACAUUGUAUUGCUGUGUCAUACAAUACAAACUCUAAUGAUAAUGAGGUGUUGAGGGAUAUUAUUUAUUUAAACAAUACUACGUGUACGUGAGUGUAACAAUAAAUCC